ensembl:misc_RNA Metazoa_SRP Metazoan signal recognition particle RNA
GCCAGGCAUGGUGGUGAAUGCUUGUAGUCCCAGGUACUUGGGAGGCCAAGGUGGUAGGAUUGCUUGAGCCCAGUAGUUCUGGGCUGUAGUGCAUUAUGUCGAUUGGGUGUCUGCACUAAGUUCGGCAUCAAUAUGGUGACCCCCCAGGAGCAGGAGACCACCAGGUUGCCUAAGGAGGGGUGAACCAGUCCAGGUUGGAAACAGAGCAGGUCAAAACUCCUGUGCUGAUUAGUAGUGAGAUUGCACCUGUGAAUAGCCACUGCCUUCCAGCCUGGGCAACAUAGUGAGACCCCAUCUCUU